GAAGAAGUAAGAUCCCUGAAAGAUGAUCAGGUUGAUAGGUCUGAGGUGGAAGCGUGGUGACACGUGGAGCUGACAGAUACUAAUAGAUCGAGGACUUAACCUU
rnacentral:rRNA from 1 species